CAGCAGCCCGCGGUAAUACGGAGGAUGCAAGCGUUAUCCGGAAUGAUUGGGCGUAAAGGGUCUGUAGGUGGUACUGAAAGUCUGCUGUUAAAGAGCAAGGCUCAACCUUGUAAAAGCAGUGGAAACUACAGAACUAGAGUGCGGUAGGGGCAAAAGGAAUUCCUGGUGUAGCGGUGAAAUGCGUAGAUAUCAGGAAGAACACCGGUGGCGAAAGCGUUUUGCUAGACCGCAACUGACACUGAGGGACGAAAGCUAGGGGAGCGAAUGGGAUUAGAUACCCCAGUAGUCCUAGCCGUAAACGAUGGAUACUAGGCGUGGCUUGUAUCGACCCGAGCCGUGCCGGAGCUAACGCGUUAAGUAUCCCGCCUGGGGAGUACGCACGCAAGUGUGAAACUCAAAGGAAUUGAC
rnacentral:rRNA from 1 species